UAAAGUGGCGUACGGGUGAGUAACACGUGGAUCAUCUACCUCUUGGUGGGGGAAUAACCCUGGGAAACCGGGGCUAAUACCGCAUAAGCCUGCAAAGGGAAAGCAGCAAUGCGCCGAGAGAGGAGUCCGCGGCCGAUUAGCUUGUUGGUAGGGUAAUGGCCUACCAAGGCAAUGAUCGGUAGCCGGCCUGAGAGGGCACACGGCCACACUGGCACUGAAACACGGGCCAG
rnacentral:rRNA from 1 species